GAUAAAUCGAAUUUAAGAAAAAAUAUUCCAAAAAUUCAAUAUACAACAAAAAGGUACAAUUUGAGAGUAGAGAGAGGCCAAGGCAGGAUGCUCUUAGCCUUAUAUAUCAAAGAAAAAGCCAUCACUCCCACCAAUAAUCACAUCUCACAAACACAGCCAAUAAACGACUACAUGAAUUGUCAGUUUGGUAAUAAAGGGAAAUGCAAAACCCAAACUCGUAAUAUACAAGCAUCAAAUUUCCCAAAGGCCCAAAACUAAGGCAGAGGUAGGCAUCAAGUCCUUUCUUUUGUGUGUCGGUGCCUGUAGCUGUGACCCUCCUUUGACCAUUCGCCAUCACCAAUAUCGCCCCGCCGACGAGCUAGAUGAGAAAGGACUGCCCACCCCUUUCCUCCAUCGCCGGCGGCACCGUGGGCAAACUAUCUGUAUGUUUCGAAACUAAGCCUUUAGUGGCCACAUUACUAGCUCUCACUCUGGUGAUGCUCCUCUGGAACCUCCCUCCCUACUACCAAAACCUCCUAUCCGCGACUCGCCCUUGCUCUGCCCCCAUCACGACCACCACCCCCCUAAUCGCUUCCAAUGCUUCCUCAUUUCCUAUGACCUCCCCCGCCACCUCAUUAUCUGAGAAGAAGUACUCAACCACCGUCACCGACCCAAACAAACGGAUCUUCCAGGCAUACGGCAACGCCGCUGCUCUUUUUGUUCAGAUGGGAGCGUACCGUGGUGGCCCGAGGACCUUUGCGGUGGUGGGGCUUGCUUCGAAGCCCAUUCACGUGUUUGGUCGUCCUUGGUACAAGUGCGAGUGGAUCUCCAACAAUGGUUCUUUUAUGAGGGCCAAGGCCUAUAAGAUGCUUCCAGACUGGGGCUAUGGUCGCGUCUACACUGUUGUGGUUGUCAAUUGCACCUUCCCCGUGAAUCCUAACCACGACAAUGCGGGUGGAAAGCUCAUGCUCAAUGCGUAUUACGGUGAAUCUCAGAGGAAAUACGAGAAGUUUGUUGCUUUGGAAGAGGCACCAGGCUCUUACAACGAGUCCAAGUACCACCCGCCUUACCAGUACGAGUAUCUCUAUUGUGGGUCUUCUUUAUACGGGAAUUUGAGUGCGGCCAGAAUGAGGGAAUGGAUGGCUUAUCACGCAUGGUUCUUCGGACCCAGUUCCCAUUUCGUGUUUCACGAUGCCGGUGGAGUGAGUCCUGAGGUAAGGGCUGCACUUGAGCCAUGGGUGCGAGCAGGGAGGGCCACGGUUCAGGACAUUAGAGGGCAGGCUGAGUUCGAUGGGUAUUAUUAUAACCAAUUUCUGGUGGUUAACGACUGCUUGCAUCGGUACCGAUUUGCUGCCAACUGGACAUUUUACUUUGAUGUGGAUGAGUAUAUUUAUUUGCCAGUGGGCAAUACUCUGGAAUCGGUUCUUCAAGAAUUCUCCGAUUAUACUCAGUUCACGAUUGAGCAGAAUCCUAUGUCCAGUGUGCUGUGUUUGAAUGAUUCCAGUGAGGACUAUAGCAGGUACGUUAUUGCACAGCUCCACAUUCCCAAAACACAAUUGAUCUUUAGAUCCGCGGGUCCUAAAGAACAGAAUAUUUUAAGCCCAAUUUAUCAUGUUGUAAAUAAAUGGGUUCAACACUGAAACGUGUUUGUUUGGGGUCGUCAAUUCAGGGAAUGGGCAUUCGAGAAGCUAUUAUUCAGGGAAUCGAGAACGGGGAUUCGGAGGGACCGCAAGUACGCGAUUCAGGCAAAGAAUGCAUAUGCCACUGGAGUGCACAUGUCGGAGAAUGUAAUUGGCAAGACAUUGCACAAGACCGAAACAAAGAUUCGUUAUUAUCACUACCACAAGUCUAUUACGGUUCCCGGAGAACUUUGCCGGGAAUUUGUGCCUCCGUCAGCCAAGAACAAUGUGACCUGGUACGAUAAGCUCCCAUAUGUUUAUGAUGAUAACAUGCAGAAGCUGGCCAAAACCAUCAAAGAAUUCGAGCGACAUGCCAUUGGAACUGUACAGGCUUACUCAUGAUUGAUUUAUGUGCAAAAUAAGUUAUACCAUAUGUUGAGGCGUGACCUGCGACUUCAUUAUUCAUUCUCCUGUAAUUGGGGGCGAUUGCUGAAAUUUCACUCCUCUUUCCUGUGAGUGCUAGGAUCUGACCCCCACCAGUGUGUGCCUAUUUCUGUGGUCAGAAAUGCUCCAGUAUUGCUUUGAUUUGUCUGUAUAUUUAUUAUAUUUCAUUAAAAAAAAAUCAAAAAGGAGUCAGUGUGUUCUUUUUCACUUUUUUAUAAUUUGGUGAUUUUGAUAUAUUUCUAAUGUGGUUUCCCAAUGUAAAAAGGUCCCUUGAGUAAUAAUUUUCCUUUCACCUUAUAAUUUCUUGAAGUUUGUUAAUUUGAUGAUUUAAGGAUUAGAGGUUGACUGAAAUUAUUAAGACGAGCUCUUAUUCAUAACUUUCUCCUGAUUUUGUAGUGGUGGACUGGACGGAAUUUGCCCAAGAAGAAGUGCUAUUUAAACAAAUCCGAAAUGGAGUGGACCUAGCUACCUCAAAAAAGAUACAUACAAUGUCAAAGAGAAGACAGUCCAUUUACUUUUAAGCCCAUGGUUUAUAUUAGGGCUUGCACAGGCAAAGGCCCAUUUGUUCCGAUGCAUGUAACUGGAAAUGAAUGAAUUAAGGGAGGUUUGGUAAGCUUUUCUUCAUCGCUUCGCAAUUGAGGGCAUUUCGGCCUUCUAAAUGUUCCUCUACUUCUGAUUAAUUUACUUAAAAACCUUUUUUAGGUACAUUAAAUAACUCAAUACAUCCACGAUUCCAAGACCUCCUAAAGUUAUUAAUUUACUUAAUGUUUGUUAGGCACG
rnacentral:misc_RNA from 1 species